UACGGGGGGGCGAAGCGUUGUUCGGUAAUUACUGGGCGUAAAGGGCUCGUAGGCGGCCAACUAAGUCAGACGUGAAAUCCCUCGGCUUAACCGGGGGAACUGCGUCUGAUACUGGAUGGCUUGAGAUUGGGAGAGGGAUGCGGAAUUCCAGGUGUAGCGGUGAAAUGCGUAGAUAUCUGGAGGAACACCGGUGGCGAAGGCGGCAUCCUGGACCAACACUGACGCUGAGGAGCGAAAGCCAGGGGAGCAAACAGG
rnacentral:rRNA from 1 species